rnacentral:rRNA from 1 species
AUAUUCGGAACAUCUUCUUCAGAAGAUGCGGAAUAACGUGACAUAUUGUAUUCAGUUUUGAAUGUUUAUUUAACAUUCAAAUAUUUUUUGGUUAAAGUGAUAUUCCUUUUGAAAAUAAAGCAGUAUGCGAGCGCUUGACUAAAAAGAAAUUGUACAUUGAAAACUAGAUAAGUAAGUAAAAUAUAGAUUUUACCAAGCAAAACCGAGUGAAUAAAGAGUUUUAAAUAAGCUUGAAUUCAUAAGAAAUAAUCGCUAGUGUUCGAAAGAACACUCACAAGAUUAAUAACGCGUUUAAAUCUUUUUAUAAAAGAACGUAACUUCAUGUUAACGUUUGACUUAUAAAAAUGGUGGAAACAUAGAUUAAGUUAUUAAGGGCGCACGGUGGAUGCCUUNGGAGCAUGUGGUUUAAUUCGAAGCAACGCGAAGAACCUUACCAAAUCUUGACAUCCUUUGACAACUCUAGAGAUAGAGCCUUCCCCUUCGGGGGACAAAGUGACAGGUGGUGCAUGGUUGUCGUCAGCUCGUGUCGUGAGAUGUUGGGUUAAGUCCCGCAACGAGCGCAACCCUUAAGCUUAGUUGCCAUCAUUAAGUUGGGCACUCUAAGUUGACUGCCGGUGACAAACCGGAGGAAGGUGGGGAUGACGUCAAAUCAUCAUGCCCCUUAUGAUUUGGGCUACACACGUGCUACAAUGGACAAUACAAAGGGCAGCGAAACCGCGAGGUCAAGCAAAUCCCAUAAAGUUGUUCUCAGUUCGGAUUGUAGUCUGCAACUCGACUACAUGAAGCUGGAAUCGCUAGUAAUCGUAGAUCAGCAUGCUACGGUGAAUACGUUCCCGGGUCUUGUACACACCGCCCGUCACACCACGAGAGUUUGUAACACCCGAAGCCGGUGGAGUAACCUUUUAGGAGCUAGCCGUCGAAGGUGGGACAAAUGAUUGGGGUGAAGUCGUAACAAGGUAGCCGUAUCGGAAGGUGCGGCUG